AACCAGUCUAGCCAGAACAUUCAAUUCCUGCUAGUGUUUCUAUUCAAUCUGCUAACAGUGGCUUAACUUAUCCGGUGGGAAAGAAAUUGAGAAAGGUAGAAGGUUUGUACUUCGUGCCCCAGUAUAAGACGGAGAGUGAGAAUGAUGAUGAGGAUGACAAAGCGUUGGUGGUAUCCAGCACUGGAAAACACUUCACUUGUGAUGACCUUUAUCUAAGUGACAGUGAUGAUUCCUAUGUUGACCUUGAUUUUGAAGUGCAACCUUAUCUGAUGAAUAAAGUUGGGGAGGUAGAAGGUGCCUUGAUUGAGUUGGCACACGAACAUCAUUUAAGGGUUACCGAUGAAGUCAGGAAUAAGAUAUCAGCUUUGAAGACAGCUCUACUGAAUGAAAGUCAGAACUCUCUUUCUUCCCUUCUUCGAGUUGAGAAAUACAAAGAAACCAAGCAGGAGUUGGAUAAAAAGUUUGACACUCAAUAUCAACGCCAAAUGUAAGACUGCAUUCUUUCGUCAUGUCCCCUUUAUCUUUUCUUUUCAAGGCAACAUGAUUCCUUCAUUCUACAAUAUAUUUAUUGUCAGAUUUAAGAAGUAAGCAUUGACUAUGAAUUGUAGGCUCCUCUAGAAUUGUCUACAUUCUUAAUAUGCUUUAUAAGAGGUCAAAUAAUGGGUUAUUUAGUAUGACGGUGCUUUAGCAGCAGCACAUAUUUAAGAUAGAGAUUAGUUAUUCAUUAUUUAUUGAUAAUCUAGAAUGUGUAUCAUCUAGAAACACAUAUGAGACACGAGACAGCAAGCAUAAGAAUCAUUCAUCCAAUGCCUCAUGUGACAUGCAGUCAUGCAUAUAGGUUAAAAAGGAAAAGAAAAUUAAAAAAGUUAUUGAAUUAUUUUAGUAUUUUAAAUGUAAGACUCUUUUUAAGGUCGUCAUAUUUUAUUUUCACUUUAUCGUUUACUUAAACUAGAAGUUAAAACUGUUCUUAAGAAAACAUAUACGUAUACUAUUGCUUAUUCUAGUGUAAAUUAUAUAACCUUGUUUUUAUUAGUAC